rnacentral:rRNA from 1 species
ACAACGAAGAGUUUGAUCCUGGCUCAGGAUGAACGCUAGCGACAGGCCUAACACAUGCAAGUCGAGGGGCAGCGCGGAGCAAGCUUGCUUGCUUUGGCGGCGACCGGCGCACGGGUGCGUAACAGGUGUGCAAUCUGUCCAUAAUCGGGGAAUAGCCCAGCGAAAGUUGGAUUAAUGCUCCAUGUGAGCAGGGGAGGCAUCUCCCUUGUUUGAAACGUAAGGAUUAUGGGUGAGCACGCUUCUGAUUAGGUAGUUGGUGAGGUAACGGCUCACCAAGCCGACGAUCAGUAGGGGUUCUGAGAGGAAGGUCCCCCACAUUGGAACUGAGACACGGUCCAAACUCCUACGGGAGGCAGCAGUGAGGAAUAUUGGUCAAUGGACGGAAGUCUGAACCAGCCAAGUCGCGUGAAGGAUGAAGGUUCUAUGGAUUGUAAACUUCUUUUGUCUGAGGGUAAAAAAGCGGACGUGUCCGUUCUUGCAAGUAUCAGACGAAUAAGCAUCGGCUAACUCCGUGCCAGCAGCCGCGGUAAUACGGAGGAUGCGAGCGUUAUCCGGAUUUAUUGGGUUUAAAGGGUGCGUAGGCGGGUUAUUAAGUCAGUGGUGAAAGCGUGUGGCUCAACCAUACCAAGCCAUUGAAACUGGUGAUCUUGAGUGCAAACGAGGUAGGCGGAAUGUGACGUGUAGCGGUGAAAUGCUUAGAUAUGUCACAGAACCCCGAUUGCGAAGGCAGCUUACCAGCAUGCAACUGACGCUGAGGCACGAAAGCGUGGGUAUCAAACAGGAUUAGAUACCCUGGUAGUCCACGCAGUUAACGAUGAAUACUAGCUGUUGGCGAUAUAAUGUCAGCGGUACAGCGAAAGUGUUAAGUAUUCCACCUGGGGAGUACGCCGGCAACGGUGAAACUCAAAGGAAUUGACGGG